rnacentral:sRNA from 1 species
GCCAGGUACUAUGGUGGGCACCUAUAGUCUCAGCUACUCAGGAGACUGAAGUAGGAGGAUUCCUUGAGCCCAGGACUUCAAGAUCAGCCUGGGCAACAUGGGAGACCCCAUAUCAA